CAUAUCAAUAAGCGGAGGAAAAGAAACCAACAGGGAUUGCCCUAGUAACGGCGAGUGAAGCGGCAACAGCUCAAAUUUGAAAUCUGGCGCAAGCCCGAGUUGUAAUUUGUAGAGGAUGCUUCUAGGUAGCGACCGGUCUAAGUUCCUUGGAACAGGACGUCAUAGAGGGUGAGAAUCCCGUAUGUGACCGGCCCGCACCUUCUACGUAGCUCCUUCGACGAGUCGAGUUGUUUGGGAAUGCAGCUCUAAAUGGGAGGUAAAUUUCUUCUAAAGCUAAAUACCGGCCAGAGACCGAUAGCGCACAAGUAGAGUGAUCGAAAGAUGAAAAGCACUUUGGAAAGAGAGUUAAAAAGCACGUGAAAUUGUUGAAAGGGAAGCGCUCACAACCAGACUUCUGGGCGGUGUUCCGCCGGUCUUCUGACCGGUCUACUCACCGUCCCGAGGCCAACAUCAUCUGGGACCGCUGGAUAAGACCUCAGGAAUGUAGCUCCCCCUCGGGGGAGUGUUAUAGCCUGUGGUGAUGCAGCGCGUCUCGGGUGAGGUCCGCGCUUCGGCAAGGAUGUUGGCGUAAUGGUUGUCAGCGGCCCGUCUUGAAACACGGACCAAGGAGUCUAACAUCUAUGCGAGUGUUCGGGUGUCAAACCCCUACGCGUAAUGAAAGUGAACGGAGGUGGGAAGCGUAAGCUGCACCAUCGACCGAUCCUGAUGUCCUCGGAUGGAUUUGAGUAAGAGCAUAGCUGUUGGGACCCGAAAGAUGGUGAACUAUGCCUGAAUAGGGUGAAGCCAGAGGAAACUCUGGUGGAGGCUCGCAGCGGUUCUGACGUGCAAAUCGAUCGUCAAAUUUGGGUAUAGGGGCGAAAGACUAAUCGAACCAU
rnacentral:rRNA from 1 species